UCGCGCAGCAGUAUCGAUUGGAC
rnacentral:miRNA from 1 species